AAUAAACGCCGAGCAAAUUCCCUGGGUCUUGGAUGAAGCUAUCACCCACAACCAGCUGGAUCCUUCACAGCAUUUCGUGGGUGGACCUCAUGCCUUUGGAUCUUAACCUUCUGACUUCCAGGGAUUACUCCUGGAUUGUUCUUCUCUUCUCUCCAAAUAUGAACCAACACUUGAACUUUUUUGCUGAUAUAAAGC